CUAAAACAGGCAUUGCUUUUUUUCACGGAAACGACUAAAUUAAACGUCCUGAAGCUCGACAGCCAUAUUGUUUACAGAAAACAAAUGACUAGUUGCGAGAGUCCCCCUUUCAUUGUUCAGCAGAAUAUCCUCUGGGAAAUUUUCAGCCUUGGAUUUUCUUUUUUCUUUUUUUCACGGGAUAAUGACGGGAAACCAUAUGAAAGGCUGGACGCGCGGGCCUCUCUGCCUCCUGAUUGGCCCGCUGGCGUUUCAAACCCGAGCGCGAUUGGUCAAUCAGAACGUCACUCACCGAGCGCCCUGGACCCUCGAGUUCGAAACUUUUCGAAAAGCUGGAGUCGGGUUACAAACUCUGGUAACCGAACGCGAAAAGAGAGGAGAGGAAAACGCGUGAAUUAUUCACAUCAGCUGCGCAGACGCAACACAUACCUGUCGGACACACUUUACUCUUUUCAUAUGAUAUUUUCACGCCUUAUGCAUGCGGCUCUAGGUAGUUUUUUUGGCUGUCAGGGCAGUCUAGAUGGAGGUUUGAAGAAAGAAAGUUAUUCUUUAGACGCCCAGUAUCCGGUUCAAGUAGAGGAGAGCUUCAGGAAGCUUGUUCCUCAAGGCAUAAUUGCUGAGGAGGGUCGUUAGAUGACAAGGAGGUCUAGUAUGCUUGGAGAAAGUGAUCCAUUAGAUGUAGUUUCAGCAUCUACCAGAAAUCACUCACACACCUGAAACAAUCAGUUCAGACAGACAGCCAUGGCUCAGUGAUCUCCAAUGUUCUCCACAAUCUCUCGCCUUCCCACUCCCCAAUCAUGGAGAACGCAACCUUAUACCUCCAGGAAGGUGAGUGUUGGCUUCUGGUUGAUGCUGAGCAACUGAAAACCCCAGUCUCUUGUUACAGCUUCUUUGUCAAGUGUUGAAUCAAACACCACGAGCGUUGCUGGGAUAUAGAUCUGUGGUCCGAUGUUGUUUGUUUCACUCUAGUUUCUGUUGUUACAUGAGCUUUUAUGUCUUGUUUUGUUUCCACCCAUGUAAAACUGGCCACUAAUGAUAAUGUUGUGAAGUUGGUCACUGCCCAAUGUUGCUUGGCCAGGGUUCAGUUAUUUUAUGCUGCUGCAGUUGGCAGUGCAAAAAACGAAAAGAAGAGCCUAGACUUAACAUUUUCAGAUAUGUAUAAACUGAGAAAUGUGGCUUGGAAACCCAUUUCCUUCUGAGACCAGAUUACCU
rnacentral:lncRNA from 1 species